rnacentral:rRNA from 1 species
CCAAUAGCGUAUAUUAAAGUUGUUGCAGUUAAAAAGCUCGUAGUUGAAUUUCGGGACCAAUAUGUUGGUCGUGCUUCGGUACGUACUUGCAUUAUUGGUUUCUCCCUUCUGAAGAACCAUGAUGUCAUUAAUUUGGUGUCUUGGGGAAUCAGGACUGUUACUUUGAAAAAAUUAGAGUGUUUAAAGCAGGCUCACGCUUGAAUACAUUAGCAUGGAAUAAUGAAAUAGGACGUUUGAUUCUAUUUUGUUGGUUUCUAGGAUCGACGUAAUGAUUAAUAGGGUUAGUUGGGGGCAUUAGUAUUCAAUUGUCAGAGGUGAAAUUCUUGGAUUUAUUGAAGACUAACUACUGCGAAAGCAUUUGCCAAGGGUGUUUUCAUUAAUCAAGAACGAAAGUUAGGGGAUCGAAGACGAUCAGAUACCGUCGUAGUCUUAACCAUAAACUAUGCCGACUAGGGAUCGGAUGAUGUUAUUUUUGAUGACUCAUUCGGCGCCUUACG